rnacentral:rRNA from 1 species
UACGGAGGGUGCAAGCGUUAUCCGGAUUUACUGGGUUUAAAGGGUGCGUAGGUGGGCAGGUAAGUCAGUGGUGAAAUCUCCGAGCUUAACUCGGAAACUGCCAUUGAUACUAUCUGUCUUGAAUUAUCUGGAGGUAGGCGGAAUAUGUCAUGUGGCGGUGAAAUGCUUAGAUAUGACAUAGAACACCAAUUGCGAAGGCAGCUUACUACGGAUCGAUUGACACUGAGGCACGAAAGCGUGGGGAGCGAACAGG